rnacentral:rRNA from 1 species
CUUCCCUUAGGGGUACCUGCGGAAGGAGCAAGAAAGAGGUCAUGCCGAAGGGUAGACCUCCCACCCUUGUGUAUUAUUACUUUGUUGCUUUGGCGAGCUGCCUUCGGGCCUUGUAUGCUCGCCAGAGAAUACCAAAACUCUUUUUAUUAAUGUCGUCUGAGUACUAUAUAAUAGUUAAAACUUUCAACAACGGAUCUCUUGGUUCUGGCAUCGAUGAAGAACGCAGCGAAAUGCGAUAAGUAAUGUGAAUUGCAGAAUUCAGUGAAUCAUCGAAUCUUUGAACGCACAUUGCGCCCCUUGGUAUUCCGGGGGGCAUGCCUGUUCGAGCGUCAUUUCAACCCUCAAGCUUAGCUUGGUAUUGAGUCUAUGUCAGUAAUGGCAGGCUCUAAAAUCAGUGGCGGCGCCGCUGGGUCCUGAACGUAGUAAUAUCUCUCGUUACAGGUUCUCGGUGUGCUUCUGCCAAAACCCAAAUUUUUCUAUGGUGACCUCGGAUCAGGUAGAGACACCCGCUGAACUUAAGCAUAUCAAAAGUAGGAAGGAAA